GCUUACAGUGGCUCGUGUUUUUCAUAUGCAUUUGCUUCAAAGGUAUGAUAUGUCCUGCGUUUUGUAUGAAUUUAUUUUCAGAAGUUCUAGAACUAAUUCAGGGAAUGUGCAUUUUGUUUCAUGCCUUUAAGCGUUCUUUCUCUUAUCGAUUGUCCUGUUUCUGUGCCUCACUUCACUCCAUUUUAUUGUGCAAUUUAUUGCAGCCACUCAAACGGAAUCAUCCUGGACAGUUGAUGUGCCGUCCUCAGUGGAAGGUCUCCUUGGCUCAUGUGUGGUGAUCCCCUGCUCUUAUAACUACCCAGAUAUAACGGUCCAUACAUUCACAGGGAUUUGGAGGAGUGAUGACCGUGUCAUCUAUCAUCCAACUCAGUCUAACACUGUGGAGAAGUAUAGGGACGAACAAAAAUUCUUGGCGACCUCAGCAAGAAAAACUGUUCUCUGAUGAUUGAAAAUCUUGAGCAAAGUGAUGGAGGGCCUUUCUUUUUCAGGAUUGAACUAGACGGUCCAAACAUGUUUUCCUACUUCAAUAACAAAGUCUCUAUUUCAAUGAUCGGUGAACCAAAUCCCACUGAUUUCUUUGUGCAAGAAGAGGUAAAGGAGGGUCAAACUGUAUCUGCAUUCUGCUCUGUGUCUCACUCCUGCCCCACAUAUCCACCUGAUUUCCACUGGAGUCACUCUGGAGAGCGACAUUUUAGACACAGAAUCUUCAAAUGGCCAGUGGAAAGCAACAUCUACUCUGACCUUUCACUCAGACCGCACUGAUCACAACAAACCUUUACAAUGCAGGGUAACAUACCACGGAGGAAAGCAGCGGAAACAUCCAAGACCAUUAAAGUAAAAUAUGCUCCAGUGAAUGUGAAGGUUGAGUACCAGUCAGAUGUGAAUGAGGGAGAAACUGCACACCUGAAGUGCUCCAGUGAUGCAAACCCUGUCAGCAGCUAUGAGUGGCACAGUGAAACUGGAGCUCUGCUGAAUAAGGGACAAACCUACACAAUGUCAAAUGUCUCCAGACACUCAGAGGCCGUGUACUGCACUGCUGUCAAUGAGGAAGGACGAGUCAGAUCAAGCACCGUGAGCUCAAUGUGUUAUGUAAGUAAACAAUACAAGAAAUAUAACAACAGAAGAGAUUUUUCUUUUCAUUCAAACAUAUAAAAUAAUGUAUGGUUAUCUGUAGAUGCUAAUUAUAUCUGCUGUCUAACAGAUGCCCUGACAUUGAGACUUACUCUAAGUGUUCCUCAUAUAACGGCAUAGUAAAGUGUGAUUGCAUCGUACAGUCCAGGCCUCCCAGCAUGGUCCAUUUUGUUCUUGGUGACAGAGUCCUGCAAAUCACCAAAUUAGAGAAAAAUGGCUCUGUUACUACUGGGACUCUGCAGACAGACUUUGGGUCCUUCAAGUUUGUGCACUGCCUGGCAAACAACACAUUGGGAAAUGCUAAUCUCACACUAUCGUUACCUGCUAAUGGUAAGAAAAAAAACUUUGAAUCUCAAGAAAACAGCAUAGAUUAUUAUCACUCUAUAUUUACAUGGCAAAACAAAAAAUAUUCAAUGUGUUUUCUUUUUGAACAGACAACAUGCAGAAUAUUUUCAUAGCCUCUGGAGCAGGUGUGAUUUUUCUGAUAAUUCUGAUAGCCAUUGGAGUGGGAACUGUUAAAAGAUGGUAGGUUGUUAAGGAUAAGUUACACACCAUAAAACAUUAACAGGUAUAAGUUCAAGUCAUGUAAAAUGUCAAUACCUGUUUUAAAUAUGAUCAUAAAAUAAAACAAUAUUUAUCUGCUUCUAAUUGUUGUUGUGAUGUUAUGGUAAUGUUAUAUUUUUGUUAUAUUUUUGGAAAGUCUUAGUUUUUCUCCUGAUGUUUCAAAUUUCAGCAGGGGGCAAUCAGAUGGCACACCAAAAUCUGACUUAAGCACCAUGAGGUCAGACAGACCUGCGGAGCCCCUCGUUAUGCUCAAACAAAAAGGUUUUAAUUCUUCAAAUCAGUUAAAAAAAAAAAAACCCAAAACAAAACACACUUUAUUCAUUAUUAAACAUGAUGAUGAAUAUUUGAUAUAAUUUGUGUGUAGAGGAAAAACACAAACUUCUUUGCUUUUUGCAUUCUUUGUACAGGAAGGAGAACUAUGAGGAUGUCCAUUGCAAUGACAUUUACACCAAUGACAGUGUGUAUGGGAACAUGGAGGUAGGUAAAGUUUGUAUUUUUUAAAAUUUAAUCUAAUCAUGCGUCAAAGACUGGAGUGAACUAAGCAGUCUUUUCUGUGCAGACUGACUGGGAUGAAUCAGUAUACGCCAACAUGUAAUAUAUGUGGAAGACCAGCUGCGGUCAGGUCGGAGUCAAGGAAAAAGAAAAAUCCUAGUGCUAUAUUCAUCUUAUACCACAUACAUAUUAUAUCUCAGUUUUCCUGUCAUCUGUCAUUCACAUUUCUUUGUAAAAUAUUGUAAGUAAGAGAAGUUCUGUUUUGUACUUUUGUUUGUCUGAUCAAAUAAUGUGCUUUGAAAAAUUACCAUUAAAGUUUUGCAAUAAUUACAAAGUUGUCAAGUUACUAAAUAUGUUUAUUAGCUGUUUUAUCGCUAUUGUUUUUGUGAUUAGUUAUUGAACAACAGCACAAGCGUUGCCUAUCCUCUUUAUAAAAAAUGACAUUUAACACAUAGUAGCUGUUAAUGUUUUAACUGGAGAAAAUACUCAGGAAAGCGUGUAAAUUUUAAAACUUAUAUUAACUACAUUGUGAGUUAAUUAAAUGUGCA
rnacentral:lncRNA from 1 species